rnacentral:rRNA from 1 species
GGCUCAUUAUAACAGUUAUAGUUUAUUUGAUGGUUUCAAUUACGUGGAUAACCGUAGUAAUUCUAGAGCUAAUACAUGCUAAAUACCCUGGCUUUGCUGUCGGGGUGCAUUUAUUAGAUGUCGAACCCAAUGCUCUUCGGAGCUUAUUGAGGACUCAUAAUAACUCUCGCAGAUCGCACAUUGUGCGGCGUAUCAUUCAAGUUUCUGACCUAUCANUUAGUCGGUAGUGUAUUGGACUACUGAGGCUCUGACGGGUAACGGAGAAUUAGGGUUCGAUUCCGGAGAGGGAGCCUGAGAAACGGCUACCACAUCUAAGGAAGGCAGCAGGCGCGUAACUUACCCAAUCCUGACUCAGGGAGGUAGUGACAAGAAAUCACAAUAUUUCGCCCAAUUGGGCAAAAUAAUUGUAUUGAGAACAGGCUAAACAUGUUAACGAUAAACCAUUGGAGGGCAAGUCUGGUGCCAGCAGCCGCGGUAAUUCCAGCUCCAAUAGCGUAUACUAACGUUGUUGCAGUUAAAAAGCUCGUAGUUGGAUUUUUAGAAGCGUGUAAGCGUAGUGACCUUUCGUGUCUCUUAACGUGAGCACCGCUUUUAUUUUGUCCCGGCGUUUGGUUGGCAUUAGUUUGCCGAUCUAAUUGUUGGGGCGUGUUUACUUUGAGAAAAUUAGAGUGUUCACAACAGUCAUACGAUUGUAUAUCAUAGCAUGGAAUAAUAACUGAUGACCUCGGUCCUCUUUUGUUGGAUUCAGAUGGCUGAUGUAAUGAUUGAUAGGG